GACGAACGCUGGCGGCGUGCUUAACGCAUGCAAGUCGAACGGAAAGGCCCUGCUUUUGUGGGGUGCUCGAGUGGCGAACGGGUGAGUAACACGUGAGUAACCUGCCCUUGACUUUGGGAUAACUUCAGGAAACUGGGGCUAAUACCGGAUAGGAGCUCCUGCUGCAUGGUGGGGGUUGGAAAGUUUCGGCGGUUGGGGAUGGACUCGCGGCUUAUCAGCUUGUUGGUGGGGUAGUGGCUUACCAAGGCUUUGACGGGUAGCCGGCAUGAGAGGGUGACCGGCCACAUGGGGACUGCGAUACGGCCCAGACUCCUACGGGAGGCAGCAGGGGGGAAUAUUGCACAAUGGGCGGAAGCCUGAUGCAGCAACGCCGCGUGCGGGAUGACGGCCUUCUGGUUGUAAACCGCUUUCGCCUGUGACGAAGCGUGAGUGACGGUAAUGGGUAAAGAAGCACCGGCUAACUACGUG
rnacentral:rRNA from 1 species